AGAGCGAACGCUGGCGGCAGGCUUAACACAUGCAAGUCGAGCGCUCGUAGCAAUACGAGAGCGGCAGACGGGAGAGUAACACGUGGGAACGUACCCUUCGGUUCGGAACAACCCAGGGAAACUUGGGCUAAAUACCGGAUACGUCCGUAAGGAGAAAGAUUUAUCGCCGAAGGAUCGGCCCGCGUCUGAUUAGCUAGUUGGUGAGGUAACGGCUCACCAAGGCGACGAUCAGUAGCUGGUCUGAGAGGAUGAUCAGCCUCACUGGGACUGAGACACGGCCCAGACUCCUACGGGAGGCAGCAGUGGGGAAUAUUGGACAAUGGGCGCAAGCCUGAUCCAGCCAUGCCGCGUGGGUGAUGAAGGCCCUAGGGUUGUAAAGCCCUUUCGGCGGGGAAGAUAAUGACGGUACCCGCAGAAGAAGCCCCGGCUAACUUCGUGCCAGCAGCCGC
rnacentral:rRNA from 1 species